rnacentral:lncRNA from 1 species
UAUCUUCUUAGAAUAAACAGUGAAAACAAGUUUCAACACAGAACAACAGCCUAACGUGUCCUCUCAGCGGGCACCCUGUGAAGAAGACAGGACAUAUCGGGCAAACAGGAAGGGCUGAACAAUCCAGGCAGGGUGGCCUCUUGAAAAAACUGUCAGAAAGACAAAUCUUAAAUCAAGGUCUGCUGUCGGCCCCCUGCCUUCUGUUGAGUGGAAGGUUGGGUUCAUCCAAUGCUCUUCUCUGACACUCCCUCCUCUUCUGUUUCAUUCCUGGGCAUCCAAGCCCAGUGAUUUGUUUUGGAAAUGUUAUUAUUUGUUAGCUUAGCUUUUAUCUCAGUUGGAUGCCUUUCCUGUUUCACUGUUUUCCUUUCAGGGAGCAGAGCCAACACUUGCCUCUGGGAGUUUUAUUCAACACAUCCCUGUUGUUAAAUGAAGCUCAAGAAGUUUUGAUUAACAAGCCAACCCAGGUUGAAGUCAACCAUGGCCUAGGGAAAGUGUCUGGCACCCUCUGGAGCCUGGAGGAGAAAUGCAGUAGUGGAGCUUCUGUUUGGAAUAUCGACCUGGCAAAUGAACCCCAGAGAGAAAAAGAGACAGAGGAGAGCCGGAGUUUGGAGUGGCUCAGGGCGUGGGGACACCUCUCCAAAUGGCGGUCUGCGGCCAGCAGGUUGAGAAGGGGCGUGGGGCUGCAGAAAGCUCAGCUGGAGUCGGCAGUCUCGGGAAACAGCCCCUUGCAGCCCUGCCGCCGAGACAGCAAGGAAGACCUGCAGCAGUAGCAGGCUGCGCCUCCAAGUUGAGGCCAGGAGAGCGGACCUCAGGGAGAAGAGCGUUUUCCUUUCUGCCAACGCAGAGUGAACAGGAGAGGGGGAUUGCCGUUCCUGUUUCCAGAAGAGCCCAACAGCGGAAACAGCCACCACGGAGCCUGCGUCAGCAGGGACUGACAGGGGCACUGGUAGCUUUGGGAUCCGCAUGGAAGAAAGGCCUGUACUUGCGGGGAAGAAAAGUCCUUGUCAAGGUCCCUGUGGGUGCCUAAAGGUCAACCAAUGAGGAUCAGACCCGCCUCAACCUUUAACCCCCAUGCCCUGAGUCUAUAAAAGGAGCUCUCCCAAUCUCUGGUGCGACUUCCCUGCUCUGUUGCUCUGUUGGGACCGGUGAACCUCACCCAAUAAAAUCCUGUGAAUUAAUUGAUUCA